AUAAUUGAAUAAUCAAAUGUUUAUGUAUACUUAAACCGAACAUACAAGGUGUCAACAUAGUUCUUUACAGUGGUUCUACUUGCGACAACCACGAUGUACAACCAGAAGUCACUAGUGUUGAAUCUUCUAUAAUUUUUCGGCUUGGCUUGAGAAUCUCACACUCUGUGAAUCAAGACGUUUAUCAAAUUUACACGUUCCAUCUAAGGUGAUUAAUCCAUUGUUUCUCUUCAUCGAAAAACAAUAAACAUUUUCGAUUACCAGCAUCCAAGCUGUUCUCCACGCUCAUCUGUUCGUUUUUUCCAUCCUGUUGAAUCCUCGAUCCACCGUGAUGUUUGCAGAUCCACUGGUAAGGACUGUACAUCAAGCACACGUGCUCGUUAGUGUGCUUAUUCUUCUUUUAAUACACUUGACUUACUCGUACACAUUUAGACGCAACCCAUUGAAUUUCACGCUCGAAUUGCAGCUUCCCCCCAGGAUGCACGCGAGAGAGAAAAGAAAAUAAAGAAAUAUGGAUAAACGAGAAACCGACGAGAAUGUGACUAAUGAAAAAAAAGAAAGACACGCGAGAAAUUAAGUAAAAAUCUAGAUAGAGACACAAUGACGUUUCGGGCGACGUCAACUCUCGCCCUUUGCGCGCUUUCGGUUAUUGAUCGCGAACCGUCUGGGGGCUUACAAUGGUUUAAGCCGGCCUACCAUCGCAAAUCAUGAUUCAUAUGGAUCGACCCUCUUUUAUCGCGAUGAAAAAAUUAGUCAUGAUGCGUACCCUAAUAUAUGAUAAGAAAAUGUAAUAAGAAAAUAAUUUUCUUUCUAAUAAUUUCUUAAUAUGCACUGGAAAAAGGAAUGAUAAAAUAUUAUUAUAGAUUAUACAGAAUAGCUAAUAAUUAAUUUUAAUAACUUAUAACAGAAAGAUUGAGAUACGAGCAUCAAAUGAUUAUCAUUGUUGAUAAUAUUGUUGAUAAUAUAAUUAUUUUGGUUAUUAUUGUUAUUAUGGUUAGUAUUAUUAUUGAAAAAAAUUAAGACACAAAUACCACUAUUCUGGCUGCACUGCGUUGCAAUUGUCAAGUUCUACUGCUCUCAAGAGUACAUCAAGAGUGAAAGAUAUACCUAUUGCGCUCGCGUGCACUCAUUGCGCAUGUGUACUCUUAGUUAAAUAUAUUUUUGUAAGAGUCAACUGCACAUCACGUAAUUCUAUAUCAUGCAUACUGUUGGUUCUUAAUGCAACCAUAUUGUUGUAAUUCGAUUAAAAUGUUUAUUAUAAUUAAUAUGAAAACACUUGUUUUUUUGCAGUUUAGUUCUAUUUUCACUUAUUUUGAAAACUAUUUCUAAAUCUAAAAUCUAUUCUUGAUAUAAGAAUUAAAAAUUUUAUUUUAGAAAUUGAAAAGUAAAGAGAAUGAGAAAAGAAUAAAAUAAAUAGGGUGGUCUACUCCGAAUGAAUUCAAGAAUAACAGCAUGGGCAUCUUUCUUCAAAUUCGGAGUUGGUGAUGGUGUCUUCCUCAGAUGAUAUCUUCUUUUCCGAAUAUCAUCCAUCAAAAUUUCAUAAGGUGUUAAUUCAAAUUCUGCUCCCUUUCCUCGCCCACGGGUUGUGCUUUUUGAACCCAAAUUGGCUUCUACCUUUUUUAGCUUCACACCUUUUCUUAAUUCUUGUAUAACUUGUACCCAAAAUCUUGCCUAUUAAAAUAAUUAUUUUAAUUGAUUCUUAUUAAAUAUAAUUAAAAUUACAAAAAAAAAUGAUUUUUAAAUUUUCAAUAAAUUUUACAAUUUUUGUUUUUAUGUUCAAAUAUAUUAAAUGCUAUUAAUAUUAUUUAUUUAAUAUAGAGGAUUGAAAAAAAUUCCUAAAAAAACCUAAUAUUUUUAUAAGAUAAAUUAUAAAAAUUAAAAUUAAAUUUUUGAAAUAUUUUGCAUAAAUUUAAAGUAAAAUCAUGCAUUUAUAAUUUUAUGAAAAUCAAUGUUUUAAAGCAGCUAAUAAUUGAUAAUAAUAAUUGUAUAUUAAGAUUAAUCAUAUUAUAUAUAUAAUUAUAAUUAUAUUCUAAGUUCUAACACAUCAUUCUAACACAUGCGCAAAUUAUUAGUAAUGACAUACUUGUAUAGCCCUCCAAAUCCUAAUGUCAGUCUAUAAUGGUAGAGAGUCAAGUCAAUAAAUCUCAAAUAUCUUAUCUCUGCAAAAUGAUAAAUGACUUUACACGAUAUAGUAAUAUCAGUUGUUUCAUUUUACAUAACUUACUCCUAUGCGAUUUAUUGAUGAUUAUUUAUGAAAAUUACUUUUUAAUUACAAUAAAAAAAAUAUUUAAUAAAUGAAAUUCGUAUCGAAAAA